AACAAAACUAAGGAUCGCCUUAAACUAAAAGAAAAAAAGAUCAACGGAACGGGUGAGAUCUCCUCUCUGGCUGCAUUCCUGAAUGUCCCUCGUCCGCCGCCGCCUCCUCUCCACCGCGGCGGCAGUCGCCGCUGCCCGCGGCCCACCGCCGGUCCGCGUAGCCUUGACGGACUCCGCCGGCCGCGGAGUCUUCGCUACUCGCCCCAUCGCCACUGGCGAGGUCCUCCACUCGGCGCAGCCUCUCGUCACCCACCCUUCCCGCUCUCUCUUCCACGAGGUGUGCUACCGCUGCCUCAAGAGGAAAGCGGGGAAGGGCGACGACUCCAGAGGGGACUGCUACUUCUGCAGCGACGCGUGCCGGGAGCAUGCCGAGGGAUUCCAUGGCAUUCAGAAGAAGGUGGAUUGGUCUUUGUUAGAUGACCACUGUAGUUCACGUGGUCUGAAGUACCCAUACAUGGUCAGGCGGCUAGCUUGCAUGGUUAUAUCAGGAGAUGUUGGUGCAGAUUGUCUUGACAUUCUUCAGCCAGCCCAAUUGCACCAGGGUACACUUAUUGAGAUGGAAGAGGAGUUCGAAUUGUUGAAGUCCACUUUUAGGAAGGCAGGCUUUCAGGAAGAACUCACAACUUUAUUAGUUUUGACCAAACAAUGGUACAUCAAUAUACUUGCAAGAAUACGUGUAAAUGCAUUCCGUAUUGAAUUGGUUGCAAGUUCAUAUGAGGAUCUUCUAUCCUCAGCAGUAGCCUCGGUAACAUGCGAUGCAUCAGUUGGCAAUGCUGUAUAUAUGCUCCCCUCGUUCUACAACCAUGACUGUGAUCCGAAUACUCACAUAGUUUGGCUGGAAAACGCAGACGCUAAAUUGAAGACCCUUCGUGAUAUUGACGAAGGUGAAGAGCUGCGCAUCUGCUACAUUGAUACAAGCAUGGAUGUGAACGCCAGGCAGAAGAUUCUCACUGAAGGAUUUGGUUUCCAGUGCCGUUGCCAACGGUGCUUAUCUGGGGAUUAAAAUUCAUCGUUUGCCUUAAUGGCCGCUUCCCUCGACGUUAGACGCGAACAGUGAACACAGGAUAACUAAUGACAGGGGCGUAUCUAGGGCACAUUUUUAACUUUGUAGGGCAUCCUCCGCCCAAACAACACACAAUCACUUGGUGCUCUUGGAGCGUGCCGAGAUGUCUGAAUAAUAAAAAUGUAGCAAGUUCCAAAAAGCUCAGGAUGUCUGAUACUUACCAGCAGUUGAUCAACUGAGCAUAAUGUGCAACAAGGCACUCAUAGAAACAUCAGGACAGUGCAGCAAUCUACUACUUUGCUUGAAGGAUUUCCAAACUCCCAAAAGAAAUUCUCAAGUACUUAUUAUUUGUUUUUGGUGCUAACAUGAUUCUCUUCAUGACUGCGUCACCACUCACCAACUUAUUUUGUUUCACUGCUUACAUGAAUCAGAAAUAAUUUGCGAGGAUCAACAGCCAGGCUUGUCCCAAUUGGAUGCUCAGUUCAGGAUGCCAGAAGCUUUGUAGGAUUCGACACUGUCUCCGAGGGUCUUCUCUACAGGCCUGAAGGUGAAUUACAUAUGUACCGUCCGGACAUCUCUGGAUUCUCAUAUGCCAGAAGAAUAGCAUCGGCAACAUCACGAACAUCCACUAUAUCCCUGCUUUUAUUUUCUACAGUAUCAUGUUCUCCUGCAAAAUGAUAAGUAUUUUAGUGUUACAGAAACAGAACUAUAACCCUAAACUAGUUUGGUGAACAGCCUUCGUUUCAAUGAUAUGCAGGUUUUUUUUUUGC